GUGCUUGCUUUGGCAGCACAUAUAGUAAAAUGGGAACAAUACAGAGAAGAUUAGCAGGGCCCCUGUGCAAGGAUAACACGCAAAUUCUUGAAGUGUUCCAUGUUUUC
rnacentral:snRNA from 1 species